rnacentral:lncRNA from 1 species
GUAAAACUUACACUCGUCAUACCAUAAUUAUAAGCACGUUUGGUAUCAUACAAAUAUAUACACAAGAAACGAUAUCAUACUGUUUUGCAUACAAGAAUGACUUUACACAUUCUGUAUAAUUGUCCCAAAAUUUAGGAAAUAAUUAUCAAUAAUCAAGAAGAGGUUGCAGUGUAGAGGGAAUAACCAGAAAUGACAGAGCUGAACGCAAAGGCAACAAAAGCCGCGAAACCCAAACCAACUGAUGCAGUAGCCAGCUCUGGGAACUUGUCUGCACCCCAGUUUGAUUUCCAAUCAUCCACUCUGGUGGCUGCUGAUGAUCCCGACGAUAUCAGCAGGUAUGUCAGCAUCUGAAAGUUUACCAAUUUUCAGCAACAGUUAAGAAACAAUUUAUGAUAAUCUGAUAAUUUAGGGUUCGAACUUCAUAUAACUCGCCUGAUCCAUGGCGAAAUCAAAGUAGUAGCGGAGAUUGUGGCGUCUGCUGGAAUGAUUUCCUGUGGCCAGUUGAUACGCCAGAUCACAUCCUUGUAGCACAGCGUAUGCAAAUCCGAUCACAUUCACUCCCAUGGAUUACCGGAACUCUUUGUAACGGUAGUACGAGUCAAGAGCCCAUCCCUGACGCUUAUCAGUAGCCAUAACCGACAACGACACCAAACAAAACAGCAAUUCGAAAACCCUAAACCCUAACGCUAUCUUCCUCAUCGAACCUUCUUUAUCCGCUCUCCUUCCACCCGACCUAAACCGCCUCCCUCCUCCUCCGCCACCGCCAACGCCGCCGCCACCUGCUCGCACCUCUUCCUCCGGCCGCCGUACAAAUCCGUCACGUGCGCCGUAAUCCGCUUUCGUAACCGUCGGAGUCUCCUCUCGAACAUACCGGUUCACCAUCGGCACCGGCGUCGGUGACGUUACUCUCUCCGCCGGCAACUCCGGCAACGGAUCUAACGGCGGCGAUCCGUGUGAUGCUUCUGGUUGUUGUUGUUGUUGUUCUGGUUCUGGUCUUUCUGGAGAGAAUCUAUGGCUGAGAGAUGAUAGAGAUGAUAAGGAUGAUGCCGGAGAAUCUUCCGGUGACCUGGCGGAGAGAGAGAGAGAUGGCAGUGGUUUCCGAUCUCGGAGUUGACGGGAAGCGGAAGUUGCCGGUGAAUCGACAUCGGUUUGUGGUUGUUGUUUUGAUUCUGUUUCCAUAGUGAAAUCA